CUUAUUUUAUAGUUAGGAUAACAUUAUGCCUAUCCCACACAUGCCUAAAAUAAAUUACUGUGUUAAUCUCUACCUCUUCAGCUGGAAGGCUAUUCCAUGCAUCCACUACCCUCUCAGUAAAGUAAUACUUCCGGAUAUUAUUUUUAAACCUUUUAUACCAAUGCAUCUCUUUGAGGAGAUGCUGAUUAACAAGUGGGACAUAUGGCCUACUUGGCAAUCUCAGCCAAUCCAAUGCUUUCUUAUGGGAAAAC